rnacentral:rRNA from 3 species
UGAGAAUUUGAUCCUGGUUCAGGAUGAACGCUGGCGGUGUGCCUUAAGCAUGCAAGUCGUGCGGGUUUUGUCGCAAGACAGAAUCAGCGGCAAACGGGUGAGUAACGCGUAGGGAUCUACCUUUUCGUGGGGGAUAGCUCGCCGAAAGGCGGGGUAAUACCGCAUGUGAUCGCGAGAUGAAAGUCGUAAGACGCGAAAAGAGGAACCUGCGCCCCAUCAGGUUGUUGGCGGGGUAAUAGCCCACCAAGCCUAUGACGGGUAGCCGGAGUGAGAGCUCGAUCGGCCACAAGGUAACUGAGACACGGUGCCUACACCUACGGGUGGCAGCAACUGGGAAUCUUGCGCAAUGGACGAAAGUCUGACGCAGCGACACCGCGUGUGGGAUGAAUGCCUUCGGGUUGUAAACCACUGUGGCAGGGGAAUAAAAAAAUGAAGGUACCCUGCUAGAAAGCACCUGCUAACUACGUGCCAGAAGCCUCGGUAAUACGUAGGGUGCAAGCGUUAUCCGGAUUUACUGGGCGUAAAGAGUCUCGUAGGCGGAUGUGUGCGUGGCGGGUUUAAUCCUGGGGCUCAACUCCAGAACAGCUCGUCAUACGGCAUAUCUAGAGUCUGUUAGAGGGAACUGGAAUUCUCGGUGGAGGGGUGAAAUCCGUAGAUAUCGAGAAGAACGCCAAGGGUGAAGACAGGUUCCUGGGACAGUACUGACGCUGAUGAACGACAGCUAGGGUCGCGAAAGGGAUAAGGGUAAAAACUCUAGUCCAUCUAUGAAGUAAUUCAUAGAAAAAAACAUUCAGCUAUAUGCUGGAAGAUCUGAGUAUCUUGGGCUAGUUGAUGAUUGAAUUCGUGUUACAUUCGGGUAUUAUAAAAGUAAUGCCUAUGAAUAUACAUACACAAUCUUCAACUGAAAAUGCUUCAAGUGCAGACAACCAGCAGGCAACCCCAUGGGAAACAUGGGAGAGUCCUCAGAGACUAUACGCUGAAUAUCCUAACGGGAAAGCUACUUUAUUGGGAAUACUGUAUACAGACGGAUGUCUGUCCAAAAUGAGCAAAUACACCUGGAGAUUUUAUCUCGGGAAUACCUCCUUAGAAAUAAUCAUAGUAUUUAGAGCGUGUAUGAUGAACAUUUUUGGAUUAGAUAGCCAAAAAAUACGCAUUGCUCAAAAAAUGGUAAAUGGAAAACCUUAUUAUAAAGCCGUUGUUAAUAGUGGUCAUUAUGGUAAUCAAUUGAUUGCUCAGUAUGGCACAUUUAGAACACUUGCUUAUAAGGAUGAAAAUGGAGAGAAGUUAUAUCCAUAUGCUCAUUUACCUUUUAAUACCUCUUCAAAUCAGAAAGAAGUUUCAGAUUUUUUGAGAGCAGCAUUUAGUUGUGAUGGGGGAGUAAAUUUAUAUAUUGGAAAAUCAAAGACUGGUUAUAAGUCUUUGAUUCGGAAUGUAUUUUUAUCCUGUCACCAUCCAAAACUUCAACACGAUUAUUGCGAUCUUUUAUCCUCUCUAGAGAUUAAGGCUAGAUUGCUUUUGAAAGAUAACAAAAUUCGUAUUGAAAGAAGAGAAGAUUUACAGAAAUUCCAAGAAAAAGUUGGCUUUCUCAAAGGUGUGAAGAUUACUCAGCAUUCCAAGUAUUGGCAAGGCUGGGAAAAGAAUAUUGUGUUAGAUCUCGCAUUAUCUUCAUAUGGUAAUGUGGGGAGCAUUCUUAAUCUUCCUCAGUUUUCUUAGGAUAAUGAUAUAGUCCGAUCUCAUGGGCGACCAUGAGCAUGUUGUUAACAGAUAACAACAGCCAUCUUUUUUAAAAGAUAGUAACAGGGUCUGUAGAGACCCCUGUAGUCCUAGCCGUAAACUCUGCUUGCUAGUUGGUCGGAUUUAUCCGGCUGACGUAAGCUAACGCGUUAAGCAAGCCGCCUGGGGAGUACGGCCGCAAGGCUAAAACUCAAAGGAAUUGACGGGGGAGCGCACAACCAGUGGAGCAUGUGGUUUAAUCCGAGACGAAGCGAAGACCUUACCUAGAUUUGACAUGUACCUGCAUUCUCGCGGAAACGCAAGAAGCCUUCGAGGGUGGUACACAGGUGAUGCAUGGCUGUCGUCAGCUCGUGGCGUGAGUCGUCUGCUUAAGUGCAGGAACGAGCGCAACCCCUGCCGUGUGUUGCAUUUCACACGGGACUGCCCAUCUUCAAGAUGGGAGGAAGGAGGGGACGAAGUCAAGUCAGCACGUCCCUUACAUCUAGGGCCACACACAUCCUACAAUGGCAUCAACAACGGGUCGCAAUGGGGUAACCCGGAGCUAAUCCUUAUAAAUGGUGCCUCAGUUCAGAUUGCGGGCUGAAACUCGCCCGCAUGAAGUCGGAAUUGGUAGUAAUCGCAGAUCAGAUGGCUGCGGUGAAUACGUUCUCGCUCCUUGUACAACGUAAAUAUGCGCCUUCCGCGCAUGAUUUCUAACCGAAAGGUCCCCGAGCAAGUCGGGUGAAGCGAACGGACAGGCCUUUUCUCGUGAGAGAAAGGCUGAAGGGUCCCAGUAGCACUGCGUAGCUUGAAGCCAAGACGGCAGACCAAAGAAGCGACCCUGCGUACAAAAGGGGAAGCAUCUUGCUAUUCAAUCUUUGGUAUGUAAUUGGGCUCAAGAUAUGCAGACAUAUGAAGUCAUGUGUACGAAGGGAGAUCUGUAUUGAUCUCUAUUGAUCUCUAUUCAGAAUAGAGUAUGAUGAAAGUAAUAACAUCAAAUGUCUGUACAGAAGUCUGCAGAUACCAUAGUAUGCCUUUCCAUUUCAGGGAGGCAGAAGGGUAAAUUUCGCUUUAUUAUAGAAGCGGAACGUCGGCCAGGAUACGGGAAAACCGUGUGUCCGGUCGGGAGAGAAGCAAUACUCAGCAAUGAGAUGACUAUCUCAGAACACUGCCCGUCAAAUGAGUGAAGUUGGCAACGCCCGAAGUGGAUGUCUUUAACUCGCAAGAGGGAAGCGCUACUACGGCGAGGUCAAUGACAAGCGUUAAGUCGUCAGUCAAAAUAGAUUGAUAUAGCGACCUUUUCGAGUAAUUGAAAAGAAAAAAUUGGCUGAUAUCGGUGAAGUCUACGUGUUUGCGUAAAAACAUACAUAUGAGAAUACCGAGGGAAGCUCGAUGUCUAAUCACCGUCGUAGCCCCGUAGAGACUAAUAUAGAGGGUACCAGAUAAUCUGGAACUAAACUUCUAUUACACGCCGACGCCUUGUUUAAAAAACAAGGAUGAAGAUAUAGUCCAUGCCGGACGAAAGUCCCGGAAAAACAUGAACAAGGUAUCCCUACUGGAAGGUGGGGAUGGAUCACCUCCUU